UUCCGGUUGAUCUGCCGGACCCGACUGCUAUCAGAGUGGGACUAAACCAUGCGAGUCACGCAGCAUGCGUGGCAUACGGCUCAAGUAACACGUAGUCAACAUGCCCAGCGGACGUGGAUAACCUCGGGAAACUGAGGAUAAACCGCGAUAGGCCAAGGUUUCUGGAAUGGACACCGGCUGAAACCUACAUGGCCCCUGGAUUGGACUGCAGACGAUCAGGCUGUAGGUGAGGUAAUGGACCACCAAACCUGUAACCGGUACGGGCUUUGAGAGAAGGAGCCCGGAGAUGGGCACUGAGACAAGGGCCCAGGCCCUAUGGGGCGCAGCAAGCGCGAAACCUCUGCAAUA
rnacentral:rRNA from 1 species